rnacentral:rRNA from 1 species
UAGCGGCAGGCCUUAUACAUGGAAGUCGAGGGGCAGCAUUUACUUCGGUAAAUGGCGACCGGCGCACGGGUGAGUAACGCGUAUGCAACCUACCUUUAACUGGGGCAUAGCUCGAGGAAACUCGAAUUAAUUCCCCAUAGUACAUUAUAAUAUCACAUGAUAUAAAUGUUAAAGAUUUAUCGGUUAAAGAUGGGCAUGCGUCUGAUUAGUUUGUUGGUAAGGUAACGGCUUACCAAGACUACGAUCAGUAGGGGGUCUGAGAGGAUGAUCCCCCACACUGGUACUGAGAUACGGA